GACAGAGGAUGCAGCGUUAUCCGGAAUGAUUGGGCGUAAAGCGUCUGUAGGUGGCUUUUAAGUCCGCCGUCAAUCCAGGCGUCAACCCUGGACAGGCGGUGGAAACUACCAAGCUGGAGUACGGUAGGGCAGAGGGAAUUUCCGGUGGAGCGGUGAAAGUGCGUAGAGAUCGGAAAGACACCACGGCGAAAGCACUCGUGCUGGGCCGACACUGACACUGAGAGACGAAAGCUAGGGGAGCGAAUGGG
rnacentral:rRNA from 1 species